rnacentral:lncRNA from 1 species
CAGAGGCGUUAUAACACUGCUAAUGACCAUAUUCCACAGGGUUAUUGUGUACGGUUUCAUAGUAGUAAUUUUUGUCAAUUGCCUUGCAGAUUUUUGCACAAAUGCUAUAUAUGUAAUAAACUUCAUCCUCCUAGCAAAUGCUGGCAUACUGCUAAUCAGCAAACUACAAAUUACAAUCAAAAUGUAAAUACUUUUCGUUCCUUCCGGACACCAUUUCAAGGAACAAGACUCAGAAAUAGUAUGCACUCAAACAGUCAUACCUUUCAUGCAAACCCCAGAUUUCCAAGACCA